rnacentral:rRNA from 1 species
UGACGGUAGCCAAGGAGGAAGCCCCGGCUAACUACGUGCCAGCAGCCGCGGUAAUACGUAGGGGGCAAGCGUUGUCCGGAAUGACUGGGCGUAAAGGGCGUGUAGGCGGCCGAUUAAGUCUGAAGUGAAAGUCCUGCUUUCAAGGUGGGAAUUGCUUUGGAGACUGGUUGGCUUGAGUGCGGAAGAGGUAAGUGGAAUUCCCAGUGUAGCGGUGAAAUGCGUAGAGAUUGGGAGGAACACCAGUGGCGAAGGCGACUUACUGGGCCGUAACUGACGCUGAGGCGCGAAAGCGUGGGUAGCAAACAGGAUUAGAUACCCUG